GUCGAGAGGGUGAUAGUCAUACAACAGCCGAAAGGUAAAAGCUAUCCGCCGUUCUUUCUGACGGUUUCGAACCUCUUGACGCCCUUUU
rnacentral:ncRNA from 1 species